GACGAACGCUGGCGGCGGGCUUAACACAUGCAAGUCGAACGGAAAGGCCCUGCUUUUGUGGGGUGCUCGAGUGGCGAACGGGUGUGUAACACGUGAGUAACCUGCCCUUGACUUUAGGAUAACUUCAGGCAACUGCGGAUAAUACCGGAUAGGAGCUCCUGCUGCUUGGUGGGGGUUGGAAAGUAUCGGCGGUUGGGGAUGGACGCGCGGCUAAUCAGCUGGUUGGUGGGGUAGUGGCUUACCCAGGCUUCGGCGGGUAGCCGGCCUGAGUGCGGGACCAGCCACAUUGGGACUGAGAUAGGGAGCAGUCGCGUAUGGGAGGCAGCAGUGGGAAAUAUGGCACAAUGGUCGGGAGCCUGUGGAAGAAAUGCCGCGAGCGGGAAGCCGGCCAAGUUGUGGUAAACCGCUUUCGGCUGAGACGAAGCGGGAGUGACGGUAAUGGGUGAAGAAGCACCGGCUAACUACGUG
rnacentral:rRNA from 1 species